rnacentral:rRNA from 1 species
AGAGCGAACGCUGGCGGCAGGCCUAACACAUGCAAGUCGAACGGACUCUUCGGAGUUAGUGGCGGACGGGUGAGUAACACGUGGGAACGUGCCUUUAGGUUCGGAAUAGCUCCUGGAAACGGGUGGUAAUACCGAAUGUGCCCUUCGGGGGAAAGAUUUAUCGCCUUUAGAGCGGCCCGCGUCUGAUUAGCUUGUUGGUGAGGUAAUGGCUCACCAAGGCUACGAUCAGUAGCUGGUCUGAGAGGAUGACCAGCCACAUUGGGACUGAGACACGGCCCAAACUCCUACGGGAGGCAGCAGUGGGGAAUCUUGCGCAAUGGGCAAAGCCUGACGCAGCCAUGCCGCGUGUAUGAUGAAGGUCUUAGGAUUAGUAAAAUUCUUUCACCGGUGAAGAUAAUGACUGUAGCCGGAGAAGAGCCCCGGAUAACGUUCGUGCCAGCAGCCGC